CUGCGAAUGGCUCAUUAAAUCAGUUAUAGUUUAUUUGAUAAUAUCUACUACUCGGAUAACCGUGGUAAUUCUAGAGCUAAUACCUGCGUAAAAACCCGACUUACGAAGGGUUGUAUUUAUUAGAUACAAAACCAAUGCAGGGUAACCUGGUUUUUUGGUGAUUCAUAAUAACUUCUCGGAUCGCAUGGCUCACGCCGGCGACGUUUCAUUCAAAUUUCUGCCCUAUCUACUUUCGAUGGUAAGGUAUUGGCUUACCAUGGUUACAACGGGUAACGGAGAAUUAGGGUUCGAUUCCGGAGAGGGAGCCUGAGAAACGGCUACCACUUCCAAGGAAGGCAGCAGGUGCGCAAAUUACCCAAUCCUGACACAGGGAGGUAGUGACAAAAAAUAACAAUACAGGACUUUUAAAGCCUUGUAAUUGGAAUGAGUACAAUUUAAACCCCUUAACGAGUAACAAUUGG
rnacentral:rRNA from 1 species